GCGGGUGUAACUCAAUGGUAGAGUGCUAGCCUUCCAAGCUAGUUACGAGGUUCGAUUCCCUUCACCCGCUCCA
rnacentral:tRNA from 1 species